GGAAAAUCAUCCCAUUCACAUUCAUGGUUUCAAUUUCCAUGUAUUGGCUCAAGGAUUUGGAAACUAUGAUCAUGUAAACGACCCUAAAAAGUUCAAUCUUGUCAACCCACAAGUACGUAACACCAUUGGAGUCCCUGUAGGAGGCUGGGCAGUCAUCAGAUUCAGAGCCAAUAAUCCUGGUGUAUGGUUCGUGCACUGUCAUCUAGACGUGCACUUGCCUUGGGGGCUAGCCACAGCUUUCGUAGUUCAGAACGGACCUACUCCAGGGUCUACCUUGCCACCUCCGCCGGCCGAUCUGCCGAAGUGUUAGAAUUUGAUGCAUCCGCAAUUCUCAUUGAUUAUUACUAUUGUUUCAAUUCUGGGAUUUAUUCUUUGCACAAGUUUGUAUUAAUUUCAAUUACAUUGUUU
rnacentral:misc_RNA from 1 species